UACAUGGGGUGCAAACGUUGCUCGGAAUUACUGGGCGUAAAGGGCGCGUAGGCGGAUGUUUAAAGUCAGCGGUGAAAGCCCCAGGGCUCAACCUUGGAACUGCCCAUUGAUACUGGACAUCUUGAGUACGGGAGAGGUGAGUGGAACACCGAGUGUAGAGGUGAAAAUUCGUAGAUAUUCGGUAGAACACCAGUGGCGAAGGCGACUCACUGGCCCGUUACUGACCGCCUGAGGCGCGAAAGCGUGGGGAGCAAACAGG
rnacentral:rRNA from 1 species